rnacentral:lncRNA from 1 species
UUUACCAUGUGUUUUUUCUGAUGCUUUGACAUCUGAGGUCUUGCUGACCUUGGAGAGACUUCUAGGGUUAGCCACCUCCCAGAAAGUAAACAACUCUCCUAGGGGCGCCCCUUUCAUGUGCAAACCAACCAAUCCAGAGCUUUCUCUCCCCACCACCUUCUCUAUGGAGUUCUCACACUCAGGGCCACUAUCCCCCUCCCUAGUCACCUCAGGGCCACGUACCAGACAACUAGGGGACAGCCCCGAUGACCCAGAGCCCAUUGAAAUUAUCCAAACUAGCCAAUCGUAAACCUGCUCACACUGUCUCGUCCGUUCCUCCCUGAGGAAGCCAGAAGAAAGGAUUUCUCUCCUGUUUUCACCCACUCCCUGUGCCUCCUGACUGACCCCGGUGCUUCCCCCAUGGCUCUGCAGAUCUUGGUGUGCCCACUCCUCUUGGGAACUGUAAGUAACGAAGAUCUGUUGGCCUCGCCAUAUCUGAAUAAUAAUGACACCUACACUUUAAAGCAGGGGCCCAGCAGGGCAAGAAGUCAGGACCCUGUUCCCUCUCUCACAGAGCUUAGAAUCUAGUCAGUGUGUUGCAUAUAUUUUUCUAGCGUGCAAUUUUUUUCUCUGAUAAGGCAAAUGGGCUUGAAUCUCAAGACUGUAGUUGCUUAUCAGAUUAAUACAGCUAUGCUUUUGAAAAUGAAUAAUGGGAUAAUUUAAUGGUGAGUAUGUACACUAUUUCUAACUCCCAGUGCCACCCACAAUACACACAUACACACACACACACUCAUACACUCACACAUACUCACACACACUCAUAUACAUACAUUCACUGUCUCACACACACACACUCACACAGUCUCACGAACUCACACACUGACACACACACUCACACACUCACUCUGACACACGACACUCCUUGUAGGAGGUGUAUUGAGUCUCAGGGUAGGUAGGCUCUGAUUUCCUAAUUCCUGCCUCCGUGAAUUCUUUUUCCCUCUCAAAGCCUCUCUGCUCCCUAUUCCUAUCCAUAGAUGUCCUGCAGAUGGUUAAGAGUCUUUAACAACCCUAAGCUGCAGACAGGCCUAAAGCAGUUUCACUGAGUUUACUUUUGAAUUUUGUUUAUGGUGGGUUUUUUUAAUUUAAACUUUUUUUUUUUUUAAGAGACAGCCUCGCUCUGCCACCCAGGCUGGUGUGCAGUGGCGCAAUCUCGGCUCAUUGCAACCUCCGCCUCCUGGGUUCAAGCGAUUAUCCUGCCUCAGCCUCCCAACUAGCUAGAAUUACAGGCGUGUAAUUUUACCACCAUGCGCAGCUAAUUUUUUUUUGUAUUUUUAGUAAAGACAGGGUUUCACUAUAUUGGCCAGGCUGGGCUUAAACUCCUGACCUCAGGUGACCCGCCGGCCUUAGCCUCCCGAAGUGCUGGGAUUAUAGGCGUGAGCCACUGCGCCUGGCCUAAUUUAAACUUUUAAUUUUGAGACCAUUGUAGAUUUGCAUGCAGUGGUAAGAAAUAACACCAAGAGAUCAUGGGUACAGUUCACCCAGCUCCUCCUAAUGGUACAAUGUCACAACCUGCACAGUGACAUUGACAGAAGCCACUGAUCUUACUCAGGUUCCCUCAGUUUUACUUUUGUGUGUGUGUGUGUGUGUGUGUGUGUGUAUAGUUAGUUCUAUGUAACUUUAUCACGUGUAGUUUUGUGUAUAGCCUGUAUGGUGGCUUUUUAAUUAUAGUUAUGUAGUUAUUGUUAUAUAUUCAAUUCUUUCCUUUAUAUUCUGCUUUUGUUGUCAAAAUAAUGAAGAUCUUCUCUUCCCCAGGAUCACAAAAAUUAUCUCAGGAAUUCCAGGAAGAAGAGUCCAUUUAUUGACUCUUUCUGCCUUUUAUCCAUAGAAAUUCCAUGUGGAAAUCUCUCUAAUCCAGAUUCCCCCUUACCUUUUCCACUGGAGAUUUUUUACCAAAUUGAACAAUAACUGUUGGUGCUAAAUCCACCAGAAAUACUUUUCAGUUCUCAUUUCAUUCACUGAUUUCUUUAUUCAACAAAUAUUUCCAGUGUGUGCUUAGGUCUCCGGCAUGGUUCUAGGCCUGGGCACGCAGUACGGCAGAGGGAGAUGCAAGAGAAAGAUGGAUGGGAUCAGACCUCAUGGGAACCUUGCUGGCUGUGCAGAAUAAGAAGUUUGGAUUUUAUUCUCAAGGCAAUGGGAAACUAGAAGAUUUAAAGGAGGGGAGAGAUCCAAUCUGAUUUCUUUUUUUUUUUUUUUCUGAGAUGGGGUCUUGCUCUAUUGCCCAGGUUGCAGCCUCAACCUCCUGGGCUCAAGUGAUUCUCCCACCUCAGCCUCCCAAGUACCUGGGACCACAGGUGUGCACCACCAAGCCCGGCUAAUUAGUUUUUAUUUUUGUAGAGACAAAAAUAAACUGUGUUGCUCAGGCCAGUCUCAAACUCCUGAGCUUAAGUGAUCCUUCUGCCUCGACUUCCCAAAGUGUUGGGAUUACAGAACAGAGGGAAUUUCCUGGAAGGCAGGGUCUGUGUUCAUCUCCCACAGAGCAUAGAGCACAGUGGAUGCUGAGGAAAUGGUGAAUGCUGGAAAGGAGCAACAGAAGGAGCUCCAGUUCUCCCUGAGAAGUGUCCCCAUUGGGGAAGUGACCCAAAGUCUCAUGUGUCUCUGGGAGAUAAAUCAAGAUCAAGGCUAGGGCCUUGGGACUCAGCCUAGCCCUGUGAACAAUAUCUCACCUGGACUUUCAAAAGAUGGGGUGAAGGUGGACCACACCGGGUGUUCUCAGUGGCUUCCCAGGGCAGCUGCCUCAAUUAGAGGAUUUGCUAGUACGUAGCAGAGUGUGCAAUAAAUCUUAUUGUUUCAUUAGGAGCACUGUGUUUAAUUCAGAUAACUCUACUGCUUGGCAAGGGAGAAAACUGCAGCCCUAGGGGCUGAGGAGAGACAUGUCUAUUCUUGACUUCUGACAGAGCCCCUUUAUCCAAGUCUUGACAAAUCCCCUACCUGUCACCACCUCCUCCCUCUCCCCCAGCACUAUCCGUAGACUGGGAUCCUCAGACUCCCUGAGAUUCUGAUUCCGCAGGUCUGGGAUGGGGCCCCAGAUUAUUCUGAUGCAGGUGGCCCACAAACAUACUUGAGAAACCCUAUUGAGGAGGGAGAUUAAGUUGAGAUCAUGAAGCACCUCGAAUGUCAGUUAAAGAAGUUCAAACAGCUACCAUCUGCUUGCUUUGCACCAGCUGGACAUGGGGCAAGAUUUUGUUUGAAAGAAGGAGUUUGAGGCAGGUGUCGUGGCGUGUGCCUGUAAUCCCAGCCUGAGAUAGGAGGAUUGUUUCAGCCCAUGAGUUCAAGACUAGCUUGUGCAACAUAGCAAAAUAGAAAGAAA